GUUCUAAUUGCAGUUUGCUUGAUUUGAAGGAGUUGGUCGAAAUGUGAACAGCUAUUUGGUAGACAUUAUCACAUUUGUUUUCAAUUUGACCAUGUGGCUAUGCAACAUUUCUUUAUCUUUUUAUAACAAAAGGAGACAAGAUUGAAGUGCCCUCUCCCCCCACUUUGCGGAGUUGGGGUUGAUGAAUUUGUACGAGAGUUUUCCAUGUUGCAGAGAUGGAUGGGAAAUAUUCUGGUGGAUCCGCAAAUCGGAAUCUGAAUUCUAUCAUCGUGAUAAGACUUUGAAACCUGUUUUCUUCGGCUUCCAUGCAAAACAUAAUUGGCGUCUUGACUAUUCUUCAGGCAAUAACUUAUGUCCAAGAUCUAUAGCUUGUAAAGCAUUCAUCUCUAUGGCUAAUUGACAUUAAACUUGUGUAGAUGUUGCAAUGUCUCAAAAACUUCUUUUAUUUCUUACUUAGUUUUAGCAUAUGCACAUGUACCUAGUCCAUGUAUAUUUAGUGCUAUCUUGCUGUUUAAAUAUAAACUGAACUCACUAGGAAUGGGAAAACUGUAGCCCAGUCGGACAAGGAUUUACAUUUUGUCGUUUCUGCUGAAAUAUGAUAAUCUUGCUUUUCUUUUUGGAAUUGAAA